ACUUGUAUUAAAUGUAAUAAUGUGAUUAUAAUUUGGAAGAAAAAUGUAAACAGAAACUGUGAUGUAUAAUGUGAAUGUAUAAAGGAAUGCUUGUAAUAGCAAGUAGUUUAUGUAUUUGAUACUUCCUUAUGCAAUCUUGAUUGUUAUCAGUUCCUGGUUGGAACAUUAGUUGAUUGUAUUGAUUACGACGCCUUGGACGUACAGGGAAAACUCUGUCCGUUCGGCGGACUGUCGGCGGCACCGCGACCCUGUCCAAAUAGGCGGGCGGUCGCGGGGCGUGGCAGUCGUAUUUGAGCAUAUGUACGUAUUG
rnacentral:lncRNA from 1 species